UUCGUAAAAUAAAAUUUAUUUUUUCUACAUAACGAGGCGCGGAGUAUAAAUUUUAUAUAUUGGCACAAGUCUGCUGUAGUUUGUAAUAUAAGGCUAUCCUAAAAUAUUAAUUUAAUUGAUCUAUGAUCUUAGUUACUUGUAUUAUUUUAUUUAUUAAAAGAGAAAUAUUACAUUCAUUACAUUUAAUCAUCCAUUAAUGAUAAAGAAAGAUUAGCAUUGAACUGAAUUCGAUUAAUAUUAUCGACGUGAGGAAGAUGAAGAUCGCAAACUUCAAAAACUUCUUAUAUUUAUCUGUUUUGAAACUGUUAUAUUGGCUUUGAACGAAAGAGAAGCCAUUCCGCUUCAGCCAAUCAGGAAUCAACUGGGCAAAGUUUUGGCGCGGAGCGUCACUGUACCGUUGAAAAGCGUGGUGUCAAGAUGUGAUGUUCUCUGAAGUGGGUAAUUUCAACUACGUAUGUUUCUGUCGUUGGUUGAGUACGAAAAUGGCUUCGAAAGGAUAAGAAACAUACAGACGUUGUCGCAAUUAAGGAUGAUUCAGUGUGGAGGAUGUAAUUUGAUGAUAUUCGAUGCAAAAUAUUUGAUAUCGUUUGAUUUAUUUUAACAAAGAUGAGCGUACGUAUACGUUUAUAUUGCUUUUUAACUGAUUCACAUAUUGGUAU
rnacentral:lncRNA from 1 species